GGGAUUCGAACCGCCAACCUUUCAAUCGGCAAGUCCUAGGCGCUGAGGCUUUAACUCACAGCGCCACCCGCAUCAAUGCUUUUGGUAAGCGCUUACUAAUAACACUGAGCAACACCAGGCACUGUCUAGAAAGUAGGAUAAAAAUACACCAAAACCAGGAAGCAUCCAGGAUGAAGUGCAAAAAAGGGAAAUGAAUCUAAACAAUUGUUAAACUAUUUUUUGUGUGGUUGAACAUCUUAGAAUGUAUUAUAAUAAAAAUUCUAGUGAGUCCCCUGGUAAAUAAAGUUCAGACAGCUGUGUUCACCAUGAAAUAUUUAAAAGUACAGGUUGAGGUGGUGCUCCCGCAUGAUUUUGCCAUUCAAGUUGUUUUCAACAACAGAAACUUUUAGAUUGGUUAAGAAACGAAGAAAUGGGUACGGUCUUUGAACUUAACUUUUUAUUAUUUUUUUAAUUUGCAUGUGUUGUGGCUGUUUCUAGUUUAAAAUAGGUUUUAUCAUUAGAUAUCUGACCUGUUAGAAUGUGUAUUUUAAUAAAUUAAAGUUUUUAUCCUUUUUAUGUGUGAACAGUUGUUAUUAUCUUUUUAGAGAAGCCCUUGACAAAGGCAUUUUUGGCUGAAUCAUGUAGGGCACAUUGUAUAAAUAAAUAAUCCGUCCCUUCUUUCUUUCUUUGGUUAUCUGUGAGAUUCAUUUCUCCUUUUUACUCUGUCUAAAAACUGUAUUUUCUGAAAUGCACUCUCAAAUAACUCAUCUGAAACAUUUUGCUUGGAAUGACUUCUCAGGACAUUUUUAUGCUGCUACUUCUCUCUCCUCCACAAAACCCACCAUAAAGUUCUUGGCACAGCCUGUUACUGUACUUAUCCCCUGUUGAAACUACACACCUAAGUACAUAUGACUGAACUGAACAUACAUUCCUUCCCCCUUGUACCUUAAUUCCUUCUCUUUGUCAAAUCAUAGACCAGGAAAAGCCAAUACACAUGGUUGGACUGCCAUCAACUCCAGCCAGCAUGGUCAAGAUUCAUGAAAGGGGGAGUACACUGAACUGUGAAUUCUGAUUAUUCAAGCAUCUGCACACAGCCGUAGGGAUUUCUUUUUUUAAUUAAGAAAUGCAGCCUACAAUAAUCUUCUAUGAGUACCGGUUUGUGAUAUGGUGUGCGACUGUUGUUCUAAACAGAUCGUGCAUGGAGAAGCAUCUUAAAGAAAUACACAACGAAAGAAAAAUUAUGCCAGAUGCCAUAUGACAACUUUUACAGGAUUCAAAAAGGAAGAAUGGGCUAGGACUGUCACUGCUCUUAAAACAAAAAGACAGGAUCUCCAGGUGGUGACCUGUCAACCCAUGACAGAAGAAAGACAGUUUAUUUUAUGGUUUAUCAGUCUCCUUGUGCAAUAAGCCUCUGGCUACAUAUACCGGUAUAUAUAUUUAAAGGAGUUAUGGUACCCAAAUACAGCAAAAUGCAAAUGAAAUGUGAGAUUUUUAUCCCCAUUUGUAUUGUAAAGCUCUUCAAAUUGGCAGUUUUCAGCACAGUAUUACUUAACUCUAUUGCACACAUGCCAACUUCUAUAUCUUCUCAGAGCUGGCAAGAGAGAUAAGGUACAAAUCAGAUGUGCAUUAUAGAUGUGUCAAAUCCACACUGAUGGCAACUGUAGAAAUUUGCUGCGUACAAGACCCGCUCCCCCACCAAUUUGCCAUAACAAAGAAAAGCACAAGGCCAAUCACUAUUGGAAGUCUAUUAAUUCAGGCUGUUUUCUCAGAAGAACCAUGACAGUGGUGGUGCCCUGAGCCAAGCAGAAAGGUUUUAUGAAGUCCAAACAAACACAAUGAACCACCUGAUCUUUCCUGAUUUACUAGAAGUUGCACAGGAGGGCCUGCUAAGGGCUCUGUCUGUAAAUAUAUGCUGCAGGCUCCACAACUGAGAAUGUGCUUCCAAGGAGAGACUUCCCCCCCCCUUCCCACACACAUCAGCUCCUGGUAGUCUCUAGGCCAGGCUUCCUCAAACUCGGCCCUCCAGAUGUUUUGAGACUACAAUUCCCAUCAUC